rnacentral:rRNA from 1 species
AGCAGUCGCCGCGGGAAAACGAAGGGUGCAAGCGUUACUCGGAAUUACUGGGCGUAAAGCGUGCGUAGGUGGUCUGACAAGUCAGAUGUGAAAUCCCCGGGCUUAACCUGGGAACUGCAUUUGAAACUGUCAGGCUGGAGUCUUGUAGAGGGGGGUAGAAUUCCAGGUGUAGCGGUGAAAUGCGUAGAGAUCUGGAGGAAUACCGGUGGCGAAGGCGGCCCCCUGGACAAAGACUGACGCUCAGGUGCGAAAGCGUGGGGAGCAAACAGGAUUAGAUACCCCUGUAGUCCCUGUCUCUUAUAC